CUGGCGGCGUGCUUAACACAUGCAAGUCGAACGCGAAAGGGACUUCGGUCCUGAGUAAAGUGGCGCACGGGUGAGUAACGCGUAGAUAACCUGUCUUCAUGUCUGGAAUAAUACGCCGAAAGGGGUACUAAUACCGGAUAUUCUUGCUUUUCAUAAGUUAUGCAAGCAAAGGUGGCCUCUGCAUAUGCUACUGCAUGAAGAGGGGUCUGCGUACCAUUAGCUAGUAGGUGGGGUAAUGGCCUACCUAGGCGACGAUGGUUAGCGGGUCUGAGAGGAUGAUCCGCCACACUGGCACUGGAACACGGGCCAGACUCCUACGGGAGGCAGCAGUGAGGAAUAUUGCGCAAUGGGGGAAACCCUGACGCAGCGACGCCGCGUGAGUGAGGAAGGCCUUCGGGUCGUAAAGCUCUGUCAAGAGGAAAGAAGUGUACAAUGGCUAAUACCUGUUGUAUUUGACGGUACCUCUAAAGGAAGCACCGGCUAACUCCGUGCCAGCCGCGGC
rnacentral:rRNA from 1 species